AUUGAACGCUGGCGGCAGGCCUAACACAUGCAGGUCGAGCGGAUGAGUGGAGCUUGCUCCAUGAUUCAGCGGCGGACGGGUGAGUAAUGCCUAGGAAUCUGCCUGGUAGUGGGGGACAACGUUUCGAAAGGAACGCUAAUACCGCAUACGUCCUACGGGAGAAAGUGGGGGAUCUUCGGACUUCACGCUAUCAGAUGAGCCUAGGUCGGAUUAGCUAGUUGGUGAGGUAAAGGCUCCCCAAGGCGACGAUCCGUAACUGGUCUGAGAGGAUGAUCAGUCACACUGGAACUGAGACACGGUCCAGACUCCUACGGGAGGCAGCAGUGGGGAAUAUUGGACAAUGGGCGAAAGCCUGAUCCAGCCAUGCCGCGUGUGUGAAGAAGGUCUUCGGAUUGUAAAGCACUUUAAGUUGGGAGGAAGGGCAGUAAGUUAAUACCUUGCUGUUUUGACGUUACCAACAGAAUAAGCACCGGCUAACUUCGUGCCAGCCGCCGCCGUAAAAC
rnacentral:rRNA from 1 species